rnacentral:rRNA from 1 species
CACGUGGGUGGCGAGCGUUAUUCGGAUUUACUGGGCGUAAAGGGUCCGCAGGGGGCCUGCCACGCCCGCCGUGAAAUUUCAGGGCUCAACCCUGAACCUGCGGCGGGCACGGGCGGGCUGGAGUGCAGGAUGGGCAGACGGAAUUCCAGGUGUAGCGGUGGAAUGCGUAGAUAUCUGGAGGAACACCGAUGGCGAAGGCGGUCUGCUGGCCUGCAACUGACCCUCAUGGACGAGAGCGUGGGUAGCAAACAGGAUUAGAUACCCUGGUAGUCCACGCCGUAAACGUUGUGUGCCAGAUGCGGGCGGGUUCGGCCCCGUCCGCGUCCCAGCUAACGCGAUAAGCACACCGCCUGGGGACUACGGCCGCAAGGCUAAAACUCAAAGGAAUUGACGGGGGCCCGCACAAGCGGUGGAGCAUGUUGCUUAAUUCGAGGCGACGCGAAGAACCUUACCCAGGUUUGACAUGCUUUCGGCCGGCGUUGAAAGACGCCCUUCCCUCGGGACGGAAGCACAGAUGCUGCAUGGCU